UCGCGACCUAUCACCGUGUUGGUGGGGUAACGGCCUACCAAGGCAAUGACGGGUAGCUGGCGUGAGAGCGCGACCAGCCACAGUGGGAGUGAGACACGGCCCAGACUCCUACGGGAGGCAGCAGUGGGGAAUAUUGCGCAAUGGGCGAAAGCCUGACGCAGAGACCCCGGGUGGGGGAGGAAGGCCUCAGGGUUGUAAACCCCUGUCAGGUGGGACGAAGGCAGGUCGUCGAAUAGGUGGCUUGUUUGACGGUACCGCCGGAGGAACAUCCGGCUAACUCCGUGCCAGCAGCCGCGGUGAUACGGGGGGAGCAAGCGUUGUUCGGAAUUACUGGGGGUAAAGGGCGCGUAGGCGGCCGAGUAAGUCGCGUGUGAAAUGCCGGGGCUCAACCCCGUGCACUUCAUGUGAUACUGCUUGGCUCGAGAGAGGUAGGGGCGAGCGGAAUUCCCGGUGUAGCGGUGGAAUGCGUCGAUAUCGGGAAGAACACCAGUGGCGAAGGCGGCUCGCUGGACCUCUUCGCCCAUGAAGCGCGAAAGCGUGGGGAGCAAACAGGAUUAGAUACGGCAGUAGUUCACUCCGUAAACGACGGGCCAUCGGUGUUGGGGGGAUUGACCCUUUCAGCGCUGGUACUAAGGCAUUAAGUACCCAACCUGGGGAGUCCGGA
rnacentral:rRNA from 1 species